UCCGGUUGAUCCUGCCAGAGGCCGCUGCUAUCCGGCUGGGACUAAGCCAUGCUAGUCUAGGGGCUUGUACUCCUUCGGGGGUGCAAGCACCGGCGGACGGCUCAGUAACACGUGGACAACCUGCCCUCGGGUGGGGGAUAACCCCGGGAAACUGGGGCUAAUCCCCCAUAGGUGAUGGGUGCUGGAAUGCCCCAUCUCCGAAAGCGCUUAGCGCCCGAGGAUGGGUCUGCGGCGGAUUAGGUAGUUGGUGGGGUAACGGCCCACCAAGCCUAAGAUCCGUACGGGCUGUGGGAGCAGGAGCCCGGAGAUGGACCCUGAGACAAGGGCCCAGGCCCUACGGGGCGCAGCAGGCGCGAAACCUCCGCAAUGCGGGAAACCGCGACGGGGUUAGCCGGAGUGCCCGUGCAUUGCACGGGCUGUCGGGGUGCCUAAACAGCACCCCAUAGCAAGGGCCGGGCAAGGCCGGUGGCAGCCGCCGCGGUAAUACCGGCGGCCCGAGUGGCGGCCACUAUUAUUGGGCCUAAAGCGUCCGUAGCCGGGCUGGUAAGUCCCCCGGGAAAUCUGGCGGCUUAACCGUCAGACUGCCGGGGGAUACUGCCAGCCUAGGGACCGGGAGAGGCCGGGGGUAUUCCCGGGGUAGGGGUGAAAU
rnacentral:rRNA from 1 species